CCUACGGGAGGCAGCAGUCGGGAAUAUUGCGCAAUGGAGGCAACUCUGACGCAGUGACGCCGCGUAUGGGAAGAAGGUUUUCGGAUUGUAAACUAUUGUCGUUAGGGAAGAUAGAAGACUGUACCUAAGGAUGAAGCCCCGGCUAACUAUGUGGCAGCAGCAGCGGUAAUCCAAGGGGGGCCAGCGUUAGCCGGAAUUAUUGGGCGUAAAGUGAUCGGAGACGGAAGGACAAGUUGGUUGUGAAAUCCCUCGGCUCAACUGAGGAACUGCAACCAAAACUAUUCUCCUCGAGUGUCGGAGAGGAAAGUAGAAUUCCUAGUGUAGCGGUGAAAUGCGUAGAUAUUAGGAGGAACACCAGUGGCGAAGGCGACUUUCUGGACGAUAACUGACGUUGAGGCACGAAAGUGUGGGGAGCAAACAGGAUUAGAUACCCGAGUAGUC
rnacentral:rRNA from 1 species